rnacentral:lncRNA from 1 species
GGGGUUAAAGUGUUUUCACUCACAAUUCAUAAUAUGCAAUAUCAACUCAUAAGUUUGAAUAGUUUCUCCUUUCAUAUCAACUACACACAACACACACUUUUUAAGGUCUUUCGGGUUGUAAUGGGGCUUGGGUUAUGGUGUGGUAAAUACAAACAAAAGGGGAAACAAGUGGUUUUGGGUUCAGAGCCAAUGUCAUUAUUCUUUUCACUGUGUUUUUUCAUUUUACUUCUUUUCAAUUACUCA